rnacentral:rRNA from 1 species
CCUACGGGAGGCAGCAGUGGGGAAUAUUGGACAAUGGGGGCAACCCUGAUCCAGCCAUGCCGCGUGUGUGAAGAAGGCCCUCGGGUUGUAAAGCACUUUCAGUGAGGAAGAACGCCUGGUGGUUAAUACCCAUCAGGAAAGACAUCACUCACAGAAGAAGCACCGGCUAACUCCGUGCCAGCAGCCGCGGUAAUACGGAGGGUGCGAGCGUUAAUCGGAAUUACUGGGCGUAAAGCGCGCGUAGGUGGCUUGAUAAGCCGGUUGUGAAAGCCCCGGGCUCAACCUGGGAACGACAUCCGGAACUGUCAAGCUAGAGUGCAGGAGAGGAAGGUAGAAUUCCCGGUGUAGCGGUGAAAUGCGUAGAGAUCGGGAGGAAUACCAGUGGCGAAGGCGGCCUUCUGGACUGACACUGACACUGAGGUGCGAAAGCGUGGGUAGCAAACAGGAUUAGAUACCCGAGUAGUC